AUUUCUCUCCCAUAUUAGUGCAG
rnacentral:snRNA from 1 species